rnacentral:ncRNA from 1 species
CUGCUAACGCGGGGGUCCUGCGUUGCGCAUCGCGGUUUCAUUCCGGUUUCGUCGAAAUGAGGCGCCUCGCGCGGCGUGGGUGAGAAAUACCCUUUGAACCUGAUCUGGAUAAUGCCAGCGCAGGGAAGCGUUCGGGCCCGGCGG